UUUUCUUCUUUUUUUUUUUUUUUCUCUCGAUGCCCUAACCGACUCGACGGAUAUAUCCGAGGAUAAACCUUAUAGAUAUUGUGGUGGCAUUAAGAGCGACGAUCUCGGUCGAGGAGAUUGGACGACCUCGGCGACGGUGGUUUCGUGGAAGUCUUGCUCGUGUUUGCUGAAUUUCUUAAGAAUAAGAAGGCAAGAUGUCUGGUGGAGAAGUGCGAAAGGUGUCCCGUCAAGAUAUCCAACUUGUUCAAAAUCUUAUUGAGCGUUGUCUUCAGCUGUAUAUGAAUCAAAAAGAAGUGGUUGAGACACUCUCUCUUCAGGCAAAAAUAGAACCUAGUUUCACUGAACUUGUUUGGCAAAAACUAGAAGAAGAGAAUCGAGAAUUUUUCAAGGCAUAUCAUGUUAGACUGAUGCUUAAGAACCAAAUUAUGGUAUUCAACAACCUUCUGGAGAAACAAGUUGAGCUCAUGCACAAAGUAUGUCCAUCUGGAGUUGCUCCUAUACCUCCGUCCAAUGGCUCUAAUUCUUCUCCAUUGCAUCAAACACCGUCAUGCUAUUUAUCAGAACAUGCAUCUACAUCUUCAAGGCCAGAUGGCAUGCUUUGCAAUGGAGGUGCUGCUGGUGCCAUGUUAAAUAGUAGGCCUGCAGUAACAGGCAUUCAGCUUGGUAAUGAUGCAUCUGUUCUUACUGGAAGCAUGGACACUUCAACAAGCCUGCUGUCGACACAGAACUCAGCCAUGGGAAGGCUUCAAGGAAUUAAUGGGACGACUAUAAAGUCAGAACCUAGCUAUUCAGGCAAUUCUGAAUUUUCAUUCUGUGCCGAUAGCAGUUUUCUAGAAGCACAACCGCCAAUUGCAGAUCCGCCUGCUGGAUCCUUCAGCAGCUCAGAGUUGACCGGACAACCAUUGAAUGAUCCACUCCCAGAUGAGCCAUUCGGAUUUUUAAGCCAGAUUCCUCGAAAUUUUAGCUUUUCAGAUUUAGCGGAUCACUUCACUCAGAGUGCUGAUAUAUUGGAGAAUUAUGGCAGGUCGCCUUUCCUUCCAGCUGAAGCAAAUAACUUCUCGAGUUCUCCUGGAGAAUGUAAAGGUUGACCGGGCAAGGAAGUAGCAUUUGUACAUAUGGGUGGACAGGUUUCUUAAAUUAUUGACAUUAAGGCUUCAAAGGUUGCUUGCUGCUUGCAUGUUGGACUGUUGCUAAUGCUUGGAUUCGUUUGAUCAGAUCAUAAUAAUACUUAUUUUUUAGUCAGAGGUCAACAUCUUGUCUUUUCAGACUGGUCUCUGUGUUGGAGAUGUUAUGGAUUUAGGGCUUUCAUGUUUCGUCUUUGGAAAGUACCAUGGAGCCAUCAUAAAUUACAAAAGGCUUGCUUGCUGCUGCUGGCUUCAUCUUUUGACCCAAUUGAAGAUCUUCUGUCAUAUUAUCCUAGCAAAUUUGUGCAUUUGUAUCUGUUGAAAAUACACGUGCAUGCAUGAGGCAUAUCAAUUCCCUCUAAAAUCCACGUACACCGCCUUGUCUUGGCAUCUGAGUGUUGGGGCCGGCUUGUGCGUGGUGCAACAGGUGCUGCAUUAGAAAUGCUACGAAGUCUUGUGGGGAUUUUUGAUGCCAGUAAUGUAUUUUGUGAGUGUGGUGGUCGUUGAUUUGGGCAUUGUCUGUAUGCAAACCUUUCAGCCCGUGGAACAGCUGAGAGAAGCUGAGCACAAGGGGUUUGGACAUUGUUCAGAAUAAGUGGGAAAGUUAAAGGGUGUACGCUUUGGUGGUUCAUCUUUUCAAGCCUGCAAAGGAUAUUCCUUGAUCCGUUUGAAGCCGAAGCUCCCAAGAUCAUCUCAAAACUCAUCUCUCUCUCCCUCUCAUAACUUAUCUUGUUAUAUUGCUUUUGAUAAAAAAAGCUCUCAUUUUUUCCAUUAUGAACUCAAGCUCACUAUUUGUUGUAAUUCUGGAGGACCGGGCCUUGGAACAAAGCAAAAGCGUGGUCCUCAAGCUCAAGCCCGUUGUGGUGAACUUAGUACCAUACAACCAUUUUUAUCGAUGAGCCACUAGCUCAUCAUAAAAUGAACCAAGGAAAUGGUUGGUUGUCGUGUUUGGAUAACAAGCUGCAGAGUCUCCUCAGCUUUAUGCCUUUGUACCUGUUAAUGAGCUGUUACGGAAAUGUUCAUGCGAUCCGUUCGGUUGACAUCUGAGUCUUCGUUUCUUGUCCUCUACAAUGUUUUGUAAAUGUGUCUCACUUAAGUUCCUUGGAAGCUCUAUAAUUAAGAAUCCUUGUCCCUGUCUGAUGUAAAUAUUAUGUCUAUAUUAAUUAGGAAUUGAUAAUAGAAACAAGUAAAAAUUUUAAUCUUUUGAUAAUGAUUUGAUCAGAUAGAAGGUAUUUCUUUUUUGAUCUUUCUGCUUCUUGACUCUAAUACAUCAGAACUUCAAAAAAUCGAGUAACAAAUGAGGGAUACAACUAGAUUUUU